rnacentral:tRNA from 1 species
UUGCGGGUCGUCUAACGGCAGGACGGCAGGCUUUGGACCUGCAGAUGGUGGUUCGAAUCCACCCCCGCGAGCCA